CCCCGUGCCGCUGCACUGGCGGCGCGGAUGGAGCCGCCGCUAUAACCAGUCCGGCGCGCUGGCCGCGGUGAUCGGAAAAUCCACGAACUUGCCGGUGAUCGGGAACGCCCUGCGCCGGGUGAGGCCGACGCUGCAACAGGUCGGUCUUUCCAAAGCGGACCGUGCGCUCAACGUGCAAGGCGCGUUCAAGGUGCCUUUAGAGAACAAAUCUGCCAUGCAGGGCCGCCGGAUUGUGCUGAUUGACGAUGUUUUGACCUCCGGCGCGACGGUCGAUGCCUGCGCCCGUGCG
rnacentral:misc_RNA from 1 species